AGUACUGUUCCCCAAUUGAUUCUUGAUUUGUCAAUAAAGAAGGUCGGAGGCCGGUUGCUGCGCGGAAGAUACAGGCGGGACUUCCGGGUUCCAGGAGGAAACGGCUGACACAAGAAAAGAGAGAGGUCUUUCUGGGCUUUGGAAAAGGAAGAAGGCAGGAACCAUAAGAGGUCUCGGGCGAGCUAGGACCAGUGGCCACCGCUACAGAUGAGGAAAGCAUGGUUCAGAGAGCAGAAUAGAGUGUCUGCAAAAAGUACCAGCCUUGGGAUCCAGAAUUCUGGCUGCAUCUCCAGGGCUUUUUCUGCAGAGUAAGAAUUACACUAUAAUUUCCACUGUGACUCUAUCAAGUGCCAGUCACUGAAGGCAAGGUCAACUUCCCUCCAAAAAGGAGUUUUGUUGGAGGGUCAUAGGAAGGAAAAAACCCUGGGAAGAAGUCCUCAAUGAUGGGAAAUGUCUGGAAGUCCAGUGGCAUCUGUACCUUGUGAGUCUCCCAGGAUGUCCUUAGUCUAAUGGGAUCCCUGAGCUCACAGGGAAGCACCAAGGAUUAAUUCUUCCCUGACAAUGUCUUAUGAUCUAUCAACAAUGAAAACAACUCUU